UGGAGCUAGACUAAACCACGUGUCCUCAUGUUUACAAAGAUUUGCUUCCUGAGGUUACUCCAGCUCCUUCUUACAUUGCCUAUAGUACUUAGUUUGUCUGUGUAGACGUCAGGUACCCAGUGUUUUUGUUGAAUUUAUCAAAUGUUCUCUACUUUCUGGGAAGCAAGCAUUGUGGCUUUGAACCGCAAGUGCAUACACAACUGAACACUAUGGGAGGUGGGAGUGGAGGCACAUAUUCAAAUGCUACAAGCACCCAGCCAAAUGACACCAUGAAAACUUGAGCCAUACCCAGCAUUGUACCUAUAGCUGCACUUUGGCUUUGGCAUGGCUUAAGGCUACACAAACACUUUUUGUGAAUCAGGAAACAUGAUCUUGUCAAGACUCGAACAGGGUUCAAUCUUCCUGACAUUUGAACAGCAGAACCCAAAGAGAACCAACCAUCAGAAGACUCUUGACUUGGAGCAAUCCACUUCCUACUGAAGAUGAUUCCCCACCCAGAAAGAGAAGACAAAGUCCCAGCUUGGGACAGCUCUGCCCAGAUUCAGAUCUGUGGCUCAACCACAAGAAAAACUCACUUCCAACUGAGCCCUGUUCUAUAACUCCUCUGCUAUCUCAAAGAAUGAAUAAGAUGUAAAGUCUCCAGGAGUGAAAAAAUGAGAUCCCCCAAAGACUGGCCCCCAAAGAAGAGGUCUAGAUCACACUGCCCAGAACACUUGCCUUCAAUUUUCAUUCUGAUUCUUGGAAUUUUAUAAACUAACAAUUUUUGAGAGGAGAGAAUGAAUAUAAUCAAUAAACACUCAUUAAACUCUUAGCGUGUGUUAAGUCCCAGAACACUAAUAUGACAAUUCUUCAACCUGCAGGAGCUCAGAGAUCAAUGGGGUGGGGUGGAGGUGGCAGAAGAGUCAGGUAAAUAGCCAACUCUAUAAUAUUGUGGUUAAAACAGGCUAGAAUAUACUUUAUUUCUUUACUCUGUGUCCAUGUGUACAAGCAUGUGCAUACUACAGCAUUCGUGUUGAGGUUAAUGGACAACUUGUGGGAGUUGGUUCUUUCCUACUGUGUGGGUCCCAGGUAUCAAGUUGAGCUUGUUAGGCCAAGUGGCAGUUUUCUUUAUCAGCUGAGGAGCUCACUGGCUCCAACAAUACUCUGUUUUAAGGACCAUAAUAGAAGAAAGCACAGAGAAUGUGGCAUUUAAGCUAAACAUGAUGGGUUGAGAAUGGGCCUUAGAAGGCUGGCUCUGCAGAUGGAUAUUUGAGCUUGGCUUUGAAGACUCAGGGGGUGGUGGCCAGGGGUUGAAUGGCAGAAAAGCAAUUAUAGGCAGAGAUCAUGGCCUGACAAGUCUUAGAAGUUAAAGCCAGAAUGUUUAGGAAUUGAAGGAAGCUCAGUAGGGCUAAGGCAGAGAGGCCAGUGAGGCUGGAAAGAAGAGGAUCUGAUCUUUGGGCAUAUUGAGACAUCUUUUGAUCCCAGAAAUCAUUGCGAAAUGAAUGAAGCAUCACACUGGAAGAAAGGGCAUCUAAGAUGCUAGCAUGUCAUAUCUAAACAGGAGGAGGAGCCAGGGCGGGCAGUGUGACUGAAAAAGGGAUUGCAGUGUCUAGGAGAGCAGUGAAAACAAGGAGGUGGAUUCUGAGAUGCUCACGAUGAGAUUUCAGCUGACAGAGGUAUGAAGUGUGGACUUUGGAAGAAGAGCUGGCUUUCUUCUAGUUCUGUUUCAACUCCAUAAACCCCAGCACUGGUUAUCACGAGAACUCUCAAAAUUGGGGUGCUUUUGUUGGGGUGCUUUCUUCAGCCUUCUAAUAUCUUGGCUCCCCAAGGUAUUGUCUCAGGGAAGUGAUUCUGACCUACUGCUAAGUUCCAAUGUUUGGCCCUUCUGCGAUCGGAUGCAAGGGCGGAAGAUGAUUUACUUACACAAACACCCUGGACAAUGUCACCCUUCCUUCAGCAGCAAGACUACACACAAACAAGGAGGCUCUAGGAAUCCUACUUGCGAUGAAGAGAUAAGAAGCUCACAGUGUGAGGCUCCUUGAAAUGCCUGCUUUGUACUGCUCUCUGGUCAUUGCCUCCCUACUACUUCCCACCAACCAGAGGUACUGGUCAAAAAUAAAUGGGCUUGUAUUUCAAAUCCAAGUCUUGCCAUUACUGGGGACACAAUCCCUAUCUCAGGGAGUUUCAGGGUACAAAUGUGGGAUAGUACCUGACAACAAGGGAGAAACUGAGUGGUAGCCAUCAUCAGUGGGUGGUAUACUCAGUGCCUAGUUAUAGAAAAAUUACUUUAUUUUCUCCGUUCCUUAAGUGGGAAGGCAAAAAAGAACUAGCAAAAGAAGAAAGGUAGGUCCAUGUCUUCAAACUCAACACUAAGAAGACUGAGGCAGAAGGAUCAAGUUUAAAACCAGUUUAUGCUAUGUAUGUAAUAAAAGUGUGUAUAUGUGUGUGUAAAUACACAUAUAUACAUGCACAUAUACAUAUACGAGACAUAUACAUAUAUAUGCAUAUGUGCAUAUGCAGGUGUACACUUAAGCUUGUUACUGAGCUGAGCAGAUGGGAUCUACUUGCAAAGGCCUACAAUUUCUAGAGCUACGCUACCAUGAGGAAAGGAGUGAGUCAGCACACUAGUAAAAGUCUGUUUUUGAUCUCUCAUCAUGAGUCUUCACCGCUGGGGGAUGCCAGCCAUCCCUAAGGCACACAGCCCCCUCCUGCUAGGAUGUUGCUCAGCACGAGAUCACUAAGACCCACACAGACCAGAGACCAGAGACCAGAAACCAGAAGUCGGCGGCCAUCAGCCCAGCUUCUGCUUCCACUGCAGCGGGUGGCUUAGUCAGCAAACUUUGCAAAGGCAUUUGGCUCCGAGCACAUAGUGACAGCAAACUGGACUUGCAGUGCUCAGGAAUCCUUGAGGGUUUCAACUCCCCAGCCUAUGCAAGUGAGCCCCUUGAAGAUAGGAAUCACACCCACAUUGAGACUUUCAGAAACCCCACGGAGUCUCCAUGCCAGCAUGGGACAGAUAACAUAAAAGCAAGAGAAGCUUAGAAUCUCAGAUGCAAAGGAAAACAAGAGUUGUCUGGCUGGUCAGGGAUUUUGCUGAAUGCAGUCUUUUAACCCUCCUACUUCAGAAUCACCUGGAAGUUUCUCAAGGGAGCAGACGUCUGAGGAUCUGCGGGUGGCCUGGAAUGUGCAUUUUACCCAACACUGUGGCCAUCUGUGGUAUAGACUAAAGCUAAGAGAACAGCAGUGGACAGUACGGGAGGGCGAUGGAGAGGCUCAAAUCCUCUACACCAUCCUCAGGGCUUUGCAGCUUGUAUCCUUGACAGUAGUUCCUUAGCCUCCAUGCCGGGAACCACCACAUCGUCUCCCACCAGAGUUGCCCCCGCAACCGCAUUUGUCCCUCAUACUGCACUGUUAAUAACCUCCCAUUUUGCUGUUACAACACAGGCUUUGAGGUGUGAUCCUUUAAAUGCUCUAUCAUGCUUCCCUUUCUAGACUGCGGGCUACUCCAGGGCAAGGACUGUGUUGAGUCAUUAGCAGUCAGAAGUUGCAGCCCUCGAUAGAAGCUGGCCACCUCCCGGGUGACUGCAGACACCAGAGUUGCCUCUCUUCUGCCUACACUUGCAGAAGUGUGCCUUGGCCUAGGGAUUUCCUUUCAGUGUACCACACAGAGCCAUCUCUCAGACUCAGUAAAGACCCUUUGGAGAAGAAAGCCCCAGGAACUGACGCAUGCAUCCUCCUGGCCUAGAGACACUAACACUCUCUGGGGCUACGUCUGAACUCUGUGCACCUUCUCCAUCUGAACUCCACCGAACAGCUGAAUGCAGGAAGUGCUUUUGCUCCAGAUCUCACUCAUAAAGUGAGGAACGGCAGGGAAGGCCACGUUUAACUGACAAAGGGAAGUGAGCAGCCUGUUGUCCACCAGGCAACUGGAGCGGUGGAGGCCGCCCACCUGCACCGUGGGGCAUGUCCAAGGAAGCCGGCUGCCGGAGAAGACCAUCGUGUGAACCCUAAUCAUAUCUCUGCCCCCAAGGCAAGUGAACUCAGACACACUUCUUACUGUCUCCGGAUCCAGGAAACAGGAAUAUGCAUUUUGCACUUCAUACACAUCCUCCUGACACGGAAGUUAUUUUGUAAAAAGCCAAAUCGCUCUCAGCAAGGGAGAUGAGGAAGGCCAGAGAGAUGGGUCAGAGGGUAAAGCCACUCGCUACUUGGCAACAGAAGCAAUCCUGAUGACCUCAGUUCAGUCCCUGAAACCUGGGAAAGGGUGGAAGAGAUCUGAUUCUGACCCCCAUAGGAUUGCCACACACAGUAUCCAUACAGUUAUGGACACAAACCCAUGCGGUGACCAAUGCCAGGGAUCACUGGGAUUGGAACCCUUGAAUCUGAACAGCACUGCUGGUGCUACUGUAAACUUGACGUUCGUCUGGAUUCUCUUCUCCCACUAUAGUGUGCUAUCUAUAACAAAGGUGUCCUCGGCCUUCCAGAAAGUGGUGCUUGCACCAUAAACACUCCUCAGGUGCCUUCUAGUGAGUGCUCUAUAGAUUCAAAAUGAACCCACAGUCUCUACCUCACAGCAGGGUGAACGGUAUUUUUAAUCUGAAAAUUAGAAAAAGCUGAGAAAGGAAUGGGUCUUCUGUUGAGGCAGUAUUGAGCUCUGAUGAAACUUAAUGUUCCCGGCUCAUCUUUUGUUUUCCCCAAGGAUUUCACAUGAACUAUGUCCUCAGAGACGGCUAAGGGGAUAAACUAGGAUUGAGCUCUGCUCCCGUCAGAGGAUAGAAACUUACCACCAGAUACAGCAUUGUGAACAUGGAGAAGGAGGCGUGGCCCGAGAAGAAGGAUUUCCUGCAAAAACAAGAGAAGCCCAUGAAAGGACGGUAUUCACAGGGGUUCACAUCCCCAGUAUUCACUCGUCUGUCCUCCAUUCUAGACUCUGACCUUGACAGCAGACAUGGAAUCUCAUUCAUUUUCGCACCCUCGGUAGUGCUUUGGGUACAUGCCUGGAACGUAGCAGGCACACAUAAAUAGACAAGAGAAUGAAUGAAUGGGUUUACCACUGCUGUGCCAUGAUUUAUUUACACAUCUGUCUCAGUCAUUUGGCUGUGAGCUCUUCAAGAGUAGGUACGAUGCCUUCUCUCAUCUACACCGGAGCCCAGAACCUAGGGUGUUCAGUAGGCGCUCGCCAAACUGCACUGUGUCAAGAUGGGUAUCUGCUGUGUCUGUGUGGGGGCAGUGCCCUACCUGGCCUCCUGUACUUUGCUGUCUUCUCCUCGGCACCUGUAGUUCUGAAUGUAGCCCUCGGAGCAAUUGAUCUGACUGAAAUCAGGGUCACAGACGCUGAGGAAGUGAGGCCUCAGGCGCCCAAUGGACACUUUGGCGAUGUCUGUGAAGGACUGGCUGAUGGCACAGCCGAAAAGGAAGCAUCCCACUUGCUUAUAGAGAGCGGCCACAUAAGGGUUCUGAAUGGUGGAUCGGGACUUCUCCUUGAGGUAAUAGAUCCGGUAGAAUUCCCCCGUGAUGAUCUGAAAGGAAACCAAUGAAGGAGUUAGGGAGGACUGAGGCAUCCUCAAAGACCACACUUAGUGACACAGGAGAAUAGAUUCAGUAUUUAACUAAAAGGUAACAAUCUACAGAAUCCUAAUUCCCCACUUGAGUAUUCAUAUUCACAUAAACAUGAGGGGAACAUUCAAAACGUGAACAUCGCUGCCAUUCCCUUCUUUAAAAAAACCCUUACAUCACUUGACCGCUUAAGAGUGGUCACAUGUCAGGGGACCCACGUAGGCAAAUCUUAGGGCUCUGGGAUGUGGUGAAGGAAUGUUAGUACCACUGACUCUGGAGAAGGUCCCACUUCGGUGCUAGGGUUGAUGGGCGCUUCCACAGUCCACAGUGAAUACCUCAGCCAGGUCCGAGGGAAUCCAGCCUCUGCCACCUACUGCACACACUUGGGCUCUAAACCUCUCAAGCUUCUCAUGCUUCAACCUCCUUCCCCCUAAAAGGAGGCCGCUCGCCUUUGCACAGUCACUGGUUUAUGCAAGAUGAUACGAGUGGAAAUGUGCUGAGUCAUGGAAAGAGAGGCUUUUUAUUUCUUUUUUUUUUUUUUCUCUUUUCUUUUUUUCAGAGCUGGGGACCGAACCCAGGGCCUUGCGCUUGCUAGGCAAGCGCUCUACCACUGAGCUAAAUCCCCAACCCCGGCUUUUUAUUUCUUAUUUCUAUUAUUUGACAUUUCAGCAUACUAGUAUGAUGACAAAAACAAAACACUGGUCUAACCUGGGCACAGUGGCACACACCUACAAUCCCAGCACUGGAAGGCGUAGGCCAGAAGACCAAGGCCAGAUAGGGCUCCACGGUGAGACUCUGUCUCAAAAACUAAGAGAAACACCUAAAUAAAAGCCAAGAAACGUUCAACACUGUUCCUUUAGGAGUCUAAAUUCCUUGAUCAGGCCGGGUUUCUCCUUAGGUUUGAGAGCCAAAGAGGGAGGCUAUUUUACAUGCUCUUCCAACAAUGUACUGUCUUCCUGCUGCUCAAACUGCCUGGCUUUCCAGUAAGCAUGGGCCAGCUGCCGCUCUGUAAGGGGUGACUGUGUACAGCAUCUUUUUGUCAUUAGACCAAAUUGCCUUUGGUGAUGCACAUGUGGGUAGCGUCUGUCACUGGACCAAAUUGCUUGGGUGAUGCACAACCAUGCAGUGCAGUGCCCCCUCCCCCUUUCUUAACUCCUCAGCACAGCUGUGGCCACUUCCUGGUUGCAACCCCAGGCCAGGGGCAGUGAUGGUCAGCUCAUCACUCACCACAAAAGUCCCUUUCACACUUCCUCCCAUGAAGGAUUAUGGACCACACUUGCCCUCUCAGUGAGCAGAUACGUUCACAUCCACAAGGGAAGCAAUAGAUGGGCACAUCCAGGGCACUCCUUUGCAGAAGUUCCUUUAUUAUUCCUUUACAGUGGGGCAAGGCAUCAAGGCAUGAGGCUAAUCUGGAUCCUCAAAGGCCCCAAAGUGUGGGAAGGAUAGUGUGUAGGAUAAACAUAGCAGCUGGGCCCAGGGACAAGCAGGAGCAGGAGAGGGGGCAACGCUCGCUGACACAAGAGCCCUGGUUGACAAAUGGGCUGUGUUUUUCCAGAUGACAUUGAGGAUUCUACAGGGACGGGGAUGGUCAAAAGCUGGUCCAGUCAGCAUACUUGCCUAGCUAUUCUCUGAGAAAGCAGAAUGUUUAAUUCUUCAUAGGUGCUCAGAAAUGCUCACUGAAGGAACAGACAAAUGUCAGGGAGCAGGAGAGGGAUCAAUCCUUGGUGACGCAGGACUUGGAAAUGUCCCCUAUUCCUUGCUAAGGUCCGUCCCUCUGAUAACUCCUAACAGAUGAAAUCCGAGUGUCAUGGCAGGUCAGAAAUAAAGGCAACCAUUCUGUGCUAAAGAGACUGGGGCCCAAAUUAACUUGUGCCCAAAGAUUAGACCCAGGAACAUUCAUUCUCGAUCCAACGUUCUUCCCGGAAUCCUUGAUCUACUUCCCACUUCCAACCUGUUUACUCUUUUACCCUAUGGCAUCUUAUGGGCUAACACGUUCCAGAUGUCCAUUGCCACAGUCUCGCCUGCUGACUCCUUCUGAUUAUUUAUAAAUCACACUCAGGUGUGUUUACGUGCAGGGGUGGGGGUGGCCACUGAAUGAGUAUCAAGUAACCAUGGUGGGAGUCCUCACACACCGGGGGAAUUUGGGGCAGGGUCAGCCUCUCUAUCUGCAGAAUCUUGACUUGGUAUUCAGUAAGAGCGAUGUCAUUACCUCUUCAGUUUGAGCUAGCUUCCUAACCAAGCAGGGGCAACAGGUAAUGGACAAAAGUAGAGGGCGGUUACUUGUAAAAAUCCACCUAUAAUAAGCCAGGAGCUGAACCAAGGACCUAGACUCGAUGCCUGCCCUUGGAUUGCUCCUAAGUUUCCAGAGCCAGGCCACUGACUUAAACAAAGAAAUCCUGGCUCAAGCAUCAUGCUGUGUGAUUUUUUUGUUCCUGGUGAGAAAGAACACGUGGGUUUCUACAGCAAAUUAGCAUCUUUUGCAUGGACUUACUGGUUAGUUUUAGGUAAGAGACACUGUUGUGUAGGACACUUUAGGGAGAAGAGGUGUGAUGACAAAUUGAGGACUUUCUUCCACCCUGACCUCCCAACAUUCUGAAACUCCUAUGGUAUGGCCUUCUCAGAGCACUGUGAGUGCUGAUCCUGGGAGUGAGGAAAGACCAAGUGAGAAAGAGAGAGCAUGCUCCCUCAGACUCUUGACAAUGUCAGUCCCCACAGCCAUUUCUCACAGCUCUUUUCAACUGUAGUUGCAUUUGGACUGCAGCUCUGUCCACAAGGCAAGCCCAUUGUACAGAUGGGGAUUCUGGGGCUCUCUGAAGGAUGGGUGACAGAAGGAGAUGACAGAGUACUGUUUCUUCAGUUCCAAGGCAGGGGCAGGCUACCCAGGGUUCAGCUUGUGAGUUCUAUUGUUAUAUCGAAACCAUUUUCUAUGGUGGAGGAGCAGUUGUGUCUCCAGAACAGCCCGGCUGAAGCCAUUUAGCAGACGGAAGGUUCCGGGACCACAUGGCUUCUGGAGCCGCCCUGACAGAUUGCACAGCUAAUGAGCAGCAAAUUAUGUAUUUUCUCCAUCCCCUGUACAGAAGGGUCGCGGAGUCGACAACACAGCCAUAAAUCAUCGUUAUGAACCAGGGGACUCGGCUUCUUGUAAUCCUAACCCUUAAAGGCUAUUUAAUGAAACUUGGGCCGCACCUCUGCAGGAGAGGCGAGGGCUUAAACCGCUCCCUGACAUGUUACUCGCCUUCUCUGGAGUCUCAGAUUUACUACUUUCGGACUUUAUUCAUUAUUCACAAUGUUUUCAUUCCUGGGUCAUAAAAUGAGCACCACCACCCCCUCCUCCAAAGGCUUGGUCCCCACCCCUGGGGCCCUCAUUCCUGCCUCAGUCAGCAAAGUUCUGAUAAGUUUCACUUAGGAAAAAGAAAAUGCCUUCUAUGUUGAUUUCUCUCUGAAGCAGCUAGCAGCAGAUCUAGGGGUGAUGGCUGGCUGCCAGGCCGACAGAGAACUCUCCCCUACCUGCCUUUUAAGGAGUUUGGCCCAGAGUGUGGAAACUCAUACAGAGGAAGGCACGGCAAUUAAGCUACAAGGGGACAGCAAGGGACGGGUCUUGGCUGGCAAGCCAGUGGUUGGGAAGCUGUCUCCAGCUGUAAGAGAGAGCCUCUUCCUGUCUUCUGUGGUGAAAAAGAGCCCAGCUAUCCACAUCUUUAUGGCUGUUAACUGUUCUGGAGGGGAAAUGGGGAGGAAAGGGCAAGUGUGGAGAAAGAGGUACCAACCUGGGAGCCAGUCAGUCUCAGUCUGAUCCAUCUAAUACUUUGCAGUCACAUGACUUCACCUGUCUGGGCUUAGGUGUCCCCUUAUAGAAAACAGCAUUAAUAAUAUCCACCUGGUGAGGCUGGCAAGGAGUUCAAUGGGUGAUAUGUCAAAUGCCUGGCACUUCUCAAGACUCAUUUUGGUUUUGGAUGUUUUUCUUCUUCUUGCGUGAUUAGGAGGGGUUGGGGGAAAAAAAAACCCAACCUAAAAGUACUAUUUAUUCCCAAGAAUUCUUUGGAAAAGAAAAAUCCAAACUGGAUGUGGGAAGUAGACCCUGCCAGGGCAGAAGCAGAAAAUACGUGUGUGGUGAUUUUGAUCUUUCCAGGAAACAAGAUAGAAGAGAAGCAGCCCAUUGCAGAAGGACCCCCACCGCUGCCGCCACCACCACCACCACUCAGUGGCUGUGCUAUUUUUAAACAUUUUGCUCUAUUUUAUAAAUCACCCCAAGAAAAGUCAUACUUUUACACAGUAUGUCCUAACAGUUCCUCUUCUAGAAACUGAAAAGUCUUCCCCAGUUGACUGAAGGGCUAAUGUUCCUAUACGAGGUUCUGCUUUAAUAAUAUUUACAUAGCACUUUGCAGCUUACAAAGCGCUUCUCUGCUGUCUGUUUCUCACAGCGCCCUGUGGGUCACUGUGAUUACAGAUGCUUUCUAAGUGAGAGUGGUGAAGGCCAGAGAGGCCAGUGAGUCAUUUCUGAAUUAAAGGGGGAGGUGGGCAGGACAGUCUGGCAGCCCCAUCGCUAACAGCUCCCUUCUCCCUCACUCUUGGGUUCCUCCUAAUGGUACCAAUAUAGCUGUUUCCUUGAAGUCCCUGGAGAUAGCUGGUCAUCAUAUCCCGAAGACAAAGACACACAGGUAAGGUCUUUUGUAGUGAGCCAGUAUUUAGCAUUUAAAUACAGGCAGCACUAGACCAACCCCCUACAGGUCUAGUCUCAUCAUAGUUUGUAUAUUUACUUCCUUGACAGCUCUCCCCUAACCCCCAUACCUCAUGUAUGUGUAUGUGACUUAACAAAGUUCUUUGCACCAGGAGAGAUUCAUUCAACAAACAUUUGAUGAUGGAGAAUCGUUCUUUUUCUCAGUCUUGAGGCUAAGGGAAAAUGUAAUAUACUUGGGUUCUGCCUUUCAAGAUGGAGUCGGGAACAGAGCUGGAUUUUCUCAGAAGCCAAAUGUUCCAUCUGCUAGAAGGAAACUGCCAGAACUUUACUUAAGUAGAAGUAAGUGAUUGGAAAAUUCCCACUCCACUGACUCCAGCAUUUGGGCACUUUAGUGGCGUGCUGCCUGGGAAAGACUGUAAUGUCACGGACAUUUCUAAGGCUACAGUGGCAAUUCUGGGCUUCAUGGGUGUGACAAGUCUGACCUCUAACACACGGAUGACAAAGAGGCCAGAGAAACCGCCGAAGCCCAUUAUGGCUGCAACCAUCAGUGGCUGCCCUGGGCCCACAGGUCUCCUGAAGAACAUGGUUUUCAAUUAUUUUCCCAAAUGGCAAGCUCUCCCAGUCAAAGGCCUCCUUGAAGAGAUACUUUGCCAGUCUGUGCCAGUCUCCUGGCAGCUCUCUCUGGAGUGUUGCACACUGCCAACUUUACAGUCCUCUUUGGUGUUGAAUUUCAGGUUUCCUUUACAUUGUACCACCGUGUAUUUCUUCUUAUUUCCAAGCUAUGUUCUCCAUUUCCAAUGUCUCUGCACCGGCUUCUCCUUGGUAAAUAUAAGUCUUCCGUAGAGUGUAUCCCUGGCUCUCUGCUGUGACUUUAGCUGCUUCAAUAGCUCUGUGAAGGCGAUCUACUAAGGGCAAAUGGGCCCCCUCCCAUCAGUCCUGUUCCCGGUUUCUGAUAAUUCAUCCAAAUGGACACAAAACCGAUGCCAGUAGAUCAAGCCAGCAAAGUUUAAGAUUAAACCCAGUCCCACCCUCCUCCGCCAAACUACUUCCACCAUCCCUGUGUUCCCAUUCCAUGUGUCCCUAGACCUAACUACAAAAACCCAGCCCCUUGAGACCUCUCCCUUUCCCUAUCCCGCAACCACCCGUUUCUAUUCACUAGUCCCUUGUGUCAUUUUUUCCCCCUUUGGUUCCUCUUGUAUUACCACCACCAGGGUUCAGACUUCAUUCUUACCAUGGUUAAAAGUCCGACCUCGCUAACUUAGAACAAUAUUCUUGUUGCUCUCUAGCAAUUAACUGGAGUGAAAAUUCCUCACCGUCAGAGACCUUGACAGUCUUGCCCCUGUCUCCUUUGUCUAUCUGAACUUCAUCCGCGCCCUUUACCCUGUUUCUCUAGCCAAACAGGUCUGCUUUGCAAUUCCUGCAAGUGCCCUAGAGUUGCAAAAUCUCCCCUAUUGUUACAGAAAUCCCCUCUCCUGCAAGUCAGGAUCUCUGAUGAAAAUACCAUCCUUUCCCUUCAAGAAGUUCCAGGGCCAGCUGAUUUGGGCACCAAAUUCAGGUGUUUUCACCUCUGACCUGGAGUAACAGGCAAGCUACACCUGGCUCCUUCUCCACAGACAGGAGGGUGGUGCUAGUAUCUGCAGCCCUGAGAGCCGUCCGAUAAUUAGAUACUUGUGCCUUAAAAACUGAUGAUCAAGUCUUUGUGUGAAAAUUUCCCAAAGUCCUUUGUCUCUGAGAUCCCAGGGACUGCACACCUCACAGCCUCUAAACUUGGUGACCGAGAAGCAGGAGGGGAGAAUAGUAGAUUUCUCAGUUUAUUUCUUAGUCCAAAGUAGGAGAGUCUGACAUGCAUUUUUCCUAAGGUGCCCUCAUCCCGAGAGCCUCUCGUUUAGUUCUUCUCUAGUUCUUCUUUCUCCGGAGGCUUUAACAGCACAGCUGGCGUCUUACCCUUGCCUCUCCUUUAGACCACACGCUUCCAGGGCAAAUCGCAUUCUAUACCUCAGCUUAUGGGCCCCGGAGUCUACCACAAUGACUGUGUGCUAUGAGGGAAGAACCAAGCAUCUUCCUACACACAUUAGGUGGUGAGGCUCCUCCUCCUGCUCCUCCUCCUCUUUUUCUCCUAUACCGGUGUCUGAGUCUAGGGCCUUGCACUUAGCUUGUCUCCUCUGUGUACGUUAUCUCACAGGAACCCCUGCUACACAUGCUCCCACCAGUGGUCACCUGCCUAUUGGCCUGAGUGUUUGGUCUUCAUACGUGUAACUUUCUAAUACUAAGAACUAUGUUUUUUAUAGCUGACUAAAGAAAAAGAACACUCUACAUAGCUCCAAAUACACAGAAGAUUUUAAAAAAAAAAAAUCUUUUUUUUUUCAUUAGAGUACCUGGGCUUUUAAGCAGGUCAGACCCAGGUUUUAAUUCCUACGUUCACUUUUAUUCAGCACAGUAACCUUGGACUAAAUCACUUUCCUACGUAGGAAAUGUCUUCGCUUACUCAUGAAAUGGGGAAAAUGACGUCUGUUUCAUAUAGCUGCUGAAGAGCACUUAAGAUAAGGCAAACUGGUUUCUAGUCCCUCAGCUAGCUCACAAAAGGAUCUGACACUAUCCCCGCCCGCUCCACUCUGACUCACACAGAAUCUACCCCUCUGACUCCUACGAUCUGUUAUUUAAAACUGAGACUUGUCAGUUCAUCCUAGAGACCCAUUUCACAUAGUCAUGAACUCCAAGGUCUGUGCGUAGCUAGAAGGGAACUGCUGCCAGCCUCGUCUCUUUCCAGGCAGUUUGAGUGACAUGGGUGGUGGUGAGGGAACAAACGGAACCCUAGACAGAGGCGGUCAAUACCUGUUUGUUAAGUCACAAAUAGAUGCCCCCUCCCACAAGCCCCCAGGGAUAAGAGGGUCUCCGAAGAACUCUGCAGCCAUCUGAUCAGGGGACAGCAUAACUGAUUAAUGUGGCCUCUCUCUGUUGGUGGUCUUGUUGAAAACUCAACUAACCUUUAAUGAGGAGCAAUGUUGGGGAACCUUGUUUUCUUGGCAGAACUCUUACAGAUAAAGGGAGGUUGGGGUGGGGUGGGGGACCUAAUGAAAUCCAGAUGUGGGCCAACUGAAGCCUGAUCCUUAAUAAACAAGUCCUGGAGGUAUUGAGCUCUUCUUCUUGUCUCUUCAGAAGAAAUUUGCAUGUGGCACAGCACACGCUUCCCUGUUCCACACGGAGCAUAUUUGAGGCUUUUGGGAAACAAACAGGAUCCUUGGGCAUCUCAGGACCAAUGCUUUUGAUUUUCUGUCCAUGAUUGAAAGCAUACUCGGUCAUUUUUUUUUUACACUUAUACAAAGUACCAUAGUCUGCGUCUUGAACUAACAAUAUUAGAUCAUAUUGGAUCAAUCCCCACCCCUUGAAGCUAACAGAACCUGGACUUGUCAAUAAGAGAAACCAGCACACUACAUACAGGACCAGAGGAGAAGACCUGGCCUCUGUCUCCCAGGAACCUGUCACCCAGCAGGAAGGACCAAACCUAGACAGGACUCCCAUGACAAGGCAAUGAGAAGCGAAGGAUGACUAUCAGGGACCAAGAAGAGGGUACGCACAAACAACGUAUCACCGCAGAAACAAAGCGUGGCUCACAAUGAUCACACACGGGAGAGCCAAAAUACAAAGGCCAAAAUCAACCCAGGGCGUUAACUACCGAUCACCCUACUUUUACAGCUGGUUCUCUGAGGGGAAGUAGCAUGCUUAGGGCCGGCAGGGAGGAUGACCUACGGCAUUCUCGUGCAUCGAUUUCUUGACAAAAACAAUCUAUGUGAACCCAUGUUGGGGUGUGAGCCUGGCAAACACCAAGCCUAUGUUUACUGAACGGUGAGCAUUUGGAGCCAUAUUAAGACCUUCGCUCAUCUCACACUCGAUGGGGAAAUGCAAGUUACCACUGAAGGAAAGAAAGCUGGAUAGGACACAGGGUUUUACUGGAUGCUCCUACACUGGGUGCUGCUAGAGUCAUUAAGCCUUGUCAAGGCAGGGUAGUGACUGUUGCUGUGAGGCCUGGAAGGAAUUCUUAUUAUGCUAUAAUUCCAGAAUCUGAUACACAUCUGAAAAAGAGGUCAAAAUGACGAGGGUUUUUCCAUAGGUUCUGCCUCAGAAAGGUGUCUGCUUUCUCUAUAACCUCCGACAACCUGCAUCUCGAAAUUACCCUGAUCCCCUCCACCACCAUUCCAUUCCUUUGUAUAGCAUCUGGGCAAACUGGAUCAAGGGCAUCCGAAGCAGUUAAGGCUUCUCUUACGGUUUGCAACAAACCUGACAUCGAGCAGAGGGUCCAGGGGAGUUAAGUAGCAAACUGAUUUUCAGCUCUGCCACUUGCUCCCUUGCAGCGACUGUCCCUCCAGGCUCUCUGGUGAGAAGCCUGAUUCUUAGUGAAGGCAGCCAGGCUCAUGGGGCAGCAGUCAAGGUGGGAGAGUGGGAAAGUAGCCUGCUGCUGCUGUCCGUAACUUGUAUAGCUUUUCCAGACCUGAUCAUACCAAAGUGACUUAUCCAUCUGCCUCUGAGGUGUGCACUACCCUUUUCUCCAGGCUUACUCUUGCCAUUAUGGCAAGCAAGCGGGCAGGCUAGCACACCACUAUAGGCAAUGGGAGCACACACAUGACAUGUGCCUCUGGCUGAGUGCACUGGCAGCUAGAACAGGAAGUAGAAGUCCUAUUGCAAAGAGGAGUGAGAAGCAAGGGGCCUCAGAUCUAACUAACUAAUGCCAUGAAAAGAGUGGGAAUUCUUUUCCAGACCCCAUUUUGGCUAAGUCAUGUUACCUCGUUUUGACAUUGUGUCCUCAUUUGUAAUAAAGGUGGCUAACAUUUAUUGAGUAAACUUUACUGUGCCUGGCAUUGAGUUACUUGUGUGUGUGUGUGUGUGUGUGUGUGUGUGUGUCUGUCUGUCUGUCUGUCUGUCUGUCUGUCUAUGUGUGCUGAUCUCAUGCCAAAACCUUAGCAAACACAACUACUUACAUAUUCUUUCCACUUAACAGAUGAAUCCACUGAGGCUCAUGAAUUUGCAACCUGCCCCACAGGAGAGGAUGUGAACGGGAGCUUAUACCUUUACCUAGCUCUGGGUGUUUCUUUAAGGGUGAACUUUAUCAGCACAAUCUCCAUGUUAACCAGACAACACUAGCUCUUGACCACGA